UUCUGAGAUCUAUAGACAAUACACUGUGGGAACUUGAUCAUAUCAAGAUGGAAGCUUCCGUUAUGAAUGGCCAAGGCUUGCAUCUGGAGGUAAAGAAUUGCGGGUUUCGAUGGGUAUUUAAACAGGAUCAACAACCAUUUGACUCACCUAACAAUGACGUGCCGGGGAAAGAGGAAAGUCAUGAGUUCAGACCUGUUCUUUGGGCGAUUGAAGAUGAGGCACAGAACCGCAAACAGGAUCAACAACCAUUUGACUCACCUAACAAUGACGUGCCGGGGAAAGAGGAAAGUCAUAAGUUCAGACCUGCAAUUCUUUGGGCGAUUGAAGAUGAGGCACAGAACCGCAAACACAAGUACAAUAAGUCAUCUGAUUGAAACUACAAUGUUUUACUUUGGAGGUUGGAAUCAUUAGGUAGUCCAUUGUAUAUUUCACCUGUUGGUAUCAAUG
rnacentral:lncRNA from 1 species